UUACGGUCAAAUCACGCUGAAAACACAGGUUCUCGUUCGAUCACCGAAGUUAAGCAUCGUAGAGCCAGGUCAGUACUUAGAUAGGGGGACCGCUUGGGAACACCUGGUACUGUAAG
rnacentral:rRNA from 1 species